GACGAACGCUGGCGGCGUGCUUAACACAUGCAAGUCGAACGGAAAGGCCCUGCUUUUGUGGGGUGCUCGAGUGGCGAACGGGUGAGUAACACGUGAGUAACCUGCCCUUGACUUUGGGAUAACUUCAGGAAACUGGGGCUAAUACCGGAUAGGAGCUCCUGCUGCAUGGUGGGGGUUGGAAAGUUUCGGCGGUUGGGGAUGGACUCGCGGCUUAUCAGCUUGUUGGUGGGGUAGUGGCUUACCAAGGCUUUGACGGGUAGCCGGCCUGAGAGGGUGACCGGCCAGAGUGGGACUGAGAUACGGCACGGCCUCAUACCGGAGGCAGCAGUGGGGAAUAGUGCACAAUGGGCGGAAGCCUGAUGCCGCAACGCCGCGUGCGGGAUGACGGCCUUCGGGUUGUAACCCGCUUUCACCUGUGACGAAGCGUGCGUGACGCGAAUGGGUAAAGAAGCACGGGCUAGCUACAUG
rnacentral:rRNA from 1 species